rfam:TPA: Bos taurus chromosome 15, whole genome shotgun sequence.
UCCCUGGCAGUCAAAUGGUUAAGAAUCUGUGCUCCCAAAGCAGGGGGCACAGGUUCAAUCCCUGGUCAGGGAA